rnacentral:rRNA from 1 species
AUUGAACGCUGGCGGCAUGCCUUACACAUGCAAGUCGAACGGUAACGGGCCUUCGGGUGCCGACGAGUGGCGAACGGGUGAGUAAUGUAUCGGAACGUACCUUUCAGUGGGGGAUAACGUAGCGAAAGUUACGCUAAUACCGCAUAUUCUGUGAGCAGGAAAGCAGGGGAUCGCAAGACCUUGCGCUGAUUGAGCGGCCGAUAUCAGAUUAGCUAGUUGGUGAGGUAAAGGCUCACCAAGGCGACGAUCUGUAGCGGGUCUGAGAGGAUGAUCCGCCACACUGGAACUGAGACACGGUCCAGACUCCUACGGGAGGCAGCAGUGGGGAAUUUUUGGACAAUGGGGGCAACCCUGAUCCAGCCAUGCCGCGUGAGUGAAGAAGGCCUUCGGUUGUAAGACUCUUCGGUCCGGGAAGAAUACGUAUGGUUAAGUACCUCGUGUCGGAGUGACGGUACCGGGCAUAAGAAGCACCGGCUAACUACGUGCCAGCAGCCGCGGUAAACAA